rnacentral:rRNA from 1 species
AACGUAGGUUCCGAGCGUUAUCCGGAUUUACUGGGCGUAAAGCGCGUUCAGGCGGUUUGGCAAGUCGGGCAUGAAAUCUCUCGGCUCAACCGGGAGAGGUUGUCCGAUACUUCCAGACUUGAGGGCAGUAGAGGGUGGUGGAAUUCCGGGUGUAGUGGUGAAAUGCGUAGAUAUUCGCAAGAACACCAGUGGCGAAGGCGGCUCACUGGCCCGGUACUGACGCUGAGGUGCGAAAGCGUGGGGAGCAAACAGG